rnacentral:lncRNA from 1 species
GGCCGUGGACAUGAGCACGAUGAUGAACACGUUCGCCAACGACAUCGUGAGCCGCGCCGUGUCGGGCAAGUUCUUCCGAGCAGAAGGCCGGAACAAGCUCUUCCGGGAGCUGGUGGAGGCCAACUCUGCUCUGUUUGGAGGGUUCAACCUAGAAGACUACUUCCCAGGACUGGCGAGGUCGUUAGGUUUCCUUAGCAGAAGGUUUCUGCACAACAGGGCACAGGAGACGCACAAGAGAUGGGACGAGCUGCUUGAAACCAUACUGAGCGACCACGAGAGAAGAAACUCCUCUCUGCAUCGGCAUCGCCAUGAUGACCAUGACGACGGAGAAGGUGACUUCACCGAUGUGUUGCUCUCGGUUCAGAAAGGGUAUGGUAUGACCAGAGACCAUGUUAAGGCCAUCUUGGUGGUGAGUAGUACAGUACAUACCGUACCGUAAUCGAUCCUAUAUAUAUAUAUAUAACUCAUCCGUAUCCCCCCAGGACAUGUUCAGUGCGGGCACAGACACGUCAUCCUUGGUCCUAGAGCUGGCCAUGGCCGAGCUGAUGCGCAAUCCACAGCAGAAGGCCAAGCUACAAGGUGAAGUUCGGAAGCACACACCAGAGGGACAAGAAACGGUGGAGGAAGAGGACAUAGCUAACAUGCCCUACCUGAGAGCCGUCGUGAAGGAGACGCUGAGGCUGCAUCCGCCUGUCCCGCUCCUCCUCCCUCGCCUCUCCAUGGCAGACUGCAUCGUCCAAGGCUACUACGUUCCCUCCGGCACCCGGGUCAUCGUCAACGCGUGGGCUCUUGGCAGAGAUCCAGAGUCAUGGCAGGAGAAGCCAGAGGAGUUCAUGCCGGAGAGGUUCAUGGACGGUGGUAGCGCUGCCGGCGUCGACUUCAAAGGGAACCACUUCCAGUUCCUGCCAUUUGGAGCUGGACGAAGGAUUUGCCCUGGCCUCAACUUUGGGAUGGCUACUGUUGAGAUCAUGUUAGCAAACCUCAUGUACUGCUUUGACUGGCAGCUGCCCAGCGCCAUGGAGGAGAAGGGUGUUGACAUGACAGAAGUGUUUGGACUCACGGUGCAUCCAAAGGAAAAGCUCAUGCUUGUUCCCAAGCUUCCUGGUGCUGCUGCACCUGCAACUAGCUAGUCAUCUACUCCAUGCAAGCUGCUGAGGACACACACACAGUCCUCUGACUGUAUAUGUAUCUGAUGAGUCAUAUUGUAUACUAGAUCGAUCAGGUGGUUUGGAGUAGAAAACUACGUACACACUCUACACACGAUGGUUGGAGUUUCGACUCAAUGUAUAUUGUAUGGUUAUAAAUCGUGUACUAAUAAUAAUUCAAUCUGGAAUUUGAUAAAAAUAAAUAGGAUAAUGGUAUUUGAAGGGAAAUAAAAUCUCUGUUGUGUAUAGAUUUCUCACCUCUGACGUCCUUUCGGCCCAAUAACCUGGGCCGCUUCCUUUGGCAAACAAAAGCAGUUUUCUUUUCUUUUAUUUCUUAGUUUGUAGCUAGCACAUUAAUGCAUGACAUUCUUUUGGAGAAAAUAAUCGCUGCUGAUCCGGAUAGUGAUUGAACUCACAAAAGCAUGUUUGUUUUUCCCAAAUCAUUUUAUCGAUAGUAUGUGCCCCAAAUAUUGCCAUGGCAGAGAAAUUGAACCUCCUGUUGGAGGUUGACCGGUCAAACUACUUUAGAGAGGCCAAACCUUGGUGGACGUCGCUCAAUUAGUUUUCUGUAAAUUCAGUUAGCUAGAAAAUAUCAUUCAGUUAUUAAAAUAUCUCGGAAUCAAGGAUUUUGAUUUUGGCUUUUUCGGUUCAGUUUUAGUUAAGUGUGAAGAACUACGUGAUGUAUAACAAAGAGCAAGCAAAUCUGAACAAAAGUAAGCAAAAAAUAAAACCUGCAGCAAUUUUCCCUACACUACUAGAAUGUCCCUCUUUGCCGACUGCUUGCUUGGCAGUCGGCAAAGGCCCUAAAACAGGUAGCAAAGGCUUUGCCGACUCCUUUCCACGUGGCAGUCGGUAAAGAACACGUUGCAAAGAAUUCGUUGGCAAAGAACCCUUUGCCGCCUGCCAAGUGAAAAGCAGUCGGCAAAGCCUUUGCCACAUGUCAACAUGGCAGUCAGCAAAGGGGACGACAACCACCUUUACCACCAGCUUUUCUUUGCCACCUGCUAGGCAGUCGGCAAAGGACGUCUUUGCCGACUGCUUAGAGUGGCCGACAGCUCAGGACAUUAGGACAGUCGGCAAAGACUCCUUUUGCCGACUGCUCAGUGGGGCGGUUAGCAAAGUGUAUGUUUGCCGACUGCCCGGCCUUUGGCAGGUGGCAAAGGAUACUAGCAGUCGGCAAAGCCGAGUUUUCUUGUAGUGCUAUAUGCAUGCAUGCAACACCAUUCGCAACUAUGCGCCAAAUUCUUUGGAGCUUGGAUGGGCGACGCCUCCAAUGAACGACCACUGCUAGAUCUUCGAGGGUUAACACCGCUAUAGGCCAUUGCAUCUGCUAGAGCUUGGAGGGGUGCCUCGGCUAUGCACUCCCCAUGCAUGGCCACUGCUCGAUGGUGGGGCAAGGGAAGAGAAUAGACACAGGUGGGAAGCAAGGAAGGUAUAUAGAGACACCCUCCGAACCGGGUUGGAUAAGAAGCAGGUUUGCCAAUUAAUUGAUCGAUGGCCUAGCGGAGUCCUUGUUGAAUGUCGAAAUAAAACUCAACUUGGAGAAGUGCAUAUCUAGGGUGCCAUCAAAGAGCUACUUGGAUAUAUUGUUUUCGACGCGGCAUUGAAAGGAAAUCCAAUGGAAGUUGAUCCAAUGGAAAUCCAAUGGAAGCCAAUUUACAUCAUGAAAGUCCCCUAGAAGCUUACAUGAUGCUUAGUGGUUCUAUACCGUUUGAUCUCUAGAAUCAGUGAACGAGGUAUGAUCCUCUAUAAGUAGAUGAGAGGAGGUAGACAUCUUCUAGAACUAGCCGAUCCAAGACCUAGUGUGGCCAUGUUGAUGGAGGGGAGGGGUGGAGGGCAAAGGGCACAUGAUCAAUCAUGAUGGGAUGGGGAGCAAAGGCGGAGGAGUGGGGUGGAGAGGAGGGCAGUGAUAGAAAUGGGGUGGAGGUAUGGAGCAAAGGUGUGUGUGUGGUGGUUCUUAGAGAGAUGUGUGGUUGAUCGAAGGAGAGAGAAAACUUAGCUAUGUUUUAUAAAUGUACAUAUUUUCACUCUUGGUUUGUGGUUGGAGCCCGUGAUGAAAACCUUCAUGUUUUUCACCCCGGAUGGUUCCACUAUGAACUGGAGGUGAAAAUAUCAUUGGCAAAAAUCAUUUUUGUAGUGUACUGACCCUAAGUCAAAUUAUCUUAAGUUUGACCAACUUAAGAAACGAUAACAUCUGCGACACCAAAUAUAUAAGUACAUUAUCAAAAUAUAUUUCAUGACACAUUUAAUGAUACUAAUUUGGUAUCAUAAAUGUCGUUUUUCUUUUCUAUAAAUUUGGUCAAACUUAAAAUAGUUUGACUUAGUACAACUCUUGAAAUUAAUUUAAUUUGGGACCAACGGAAUACCUAGUUAGGAUCAUAGGCAAGUCAAUCAGAUAAACCUAUAUUAUUAUUGGAAAAAGUCUAAAUUAAUCCCCCAAGUUUGGUAUAUAUCUGGAUAACCAUCUAAACUAAUGUUUGGUUUGAUUUAUUUCCUCCAACACUUACCCAUUAACAAGUUUUUUUUCUUGUUACAAAUAAUGUUUUCAAAAUUUGUGAGGUGACAGUGGACAUCAUAUUUUACGAUAAACAUUUUUCAUUAUGUAUUUUUCAUCAUCGUGCUUCAUACAGUUCCAUAUAUCUAGUUUUAUUUUAUUAUUAGAUGUAUCAUAAACUAUCAAAAAAUAGUGGUGUAAAAUUUACGGUAUAUAUAUUUUUAUAAAUGAAUUAUGAUAGUUAUAAAAUUUUAGUUAAAACUCAACUGCUUAUAGAUGGGAAACAAAAGUAAUAAAUCUUAGUAAGGGGUAAAUUGGACCAAAUUAAAUAGUUGAAAUGAGAAACUAGUACCAAACACUAGCUUAGCAGGUUAUCUGUACAUAGAUUAAUUUAAUUAUUCUUUUCUUAUUAUUAUUUAUCUCGUUGUUACGUUCACUCCUCUUCUUAUUUACCAACACACGUGUAUAAUGUAGACAAUGAGUUAGGAAUUACACCUGCGCCACGGGCAGGGGCAGCUCAUGCUGAUUUCUGGGUACAUUGAAUCUCGCAGUGGACCCACUAAUCUUUAACUUAUCUAGUAGUACAAAUCCAACAAAUCAACAACCCAUUCUUCACCAUACCCAGUGUGUCAUUAAUUGUUGUACACACAAAUUUUGUUUUCUCCUGCUGGCUCUCUAAUUUCCUCACAAUUUUGUCUCUGUCCGUGCACUGCAUGCAAUGACACGACGGCAACGUACUAUAUAUGGAGGGAAAAUGUGGUGAACGUGAAACUAAGCCAGUUAUCGUUACGUUUAUAAAUUUGUUUGUACGGUUGGAUGAGAAGUAAGUCAGUCAUCAUAUAUAUCUUGAAUUUACGUGUAAAAAAUGAAGAGAGAGAGAGAGAGAGAGAGAGAGAGAGAGAGAGAGAGAGAGAGAGAGAGAGAUAAGGAUGGAUGACUCAGAGAAAAUCCAAAAGAGUCCAUAUGAGCUAUAGUAGCUAGCUAGCAAGAAUCAAUCCAUGCUAUGUUUCCAAAUACCAACGCAAAUAUAUAGCUGUGAGGUUUCGGACAUUGUUUGUAGUAUCUAUUUUGCCAUCCAACUUUCCACGAUCCACAAAACCACAAACUCUUUAUUAUAUAUAGAAGCCAAAGGUUUGCCAACUUUCCAAACACGAAGGCAGCAGAAACACACCAUUGCAAGCAACCCUGGCUAGUAUAGCAACCAUGUGUCACCUGCUGGAUUUGGCACACCAACUCUCGCACCCGACCUCCUCUUCUCCCUUAGUCGUCGUUCUAGCAAAAUGGCUACUAUUGCUCGUCGUUCCUCUCCUGCUCCUGCUGCACUACUACACCUCCCGGCGGUCAAGCCGCCGUCAUGGCAGCGAUGACGACAAGCAGCUGCUUCCGCCGUCGCCUCCCGGGCUGCCAAUCAUCGGCCACCUUCACCUCGUCGGAGAACUCCCUCACGUCUCCCUCCGCGACCUCGCCACAAAGCAUGCCGGCGGCGGCCUGAUGCUCCUCCGCCUUGGCUCUGUCCCCACCCUCGUCGUGACAUCUCCGCCGGCUGCGGAGGCGAUCAUGCGCACGCACGACCACGUGUUUGCGUCGCGGCCCACGUCCACUGUCAGCGACGACCUCCUGUACGGGUCCUCUGACAUCGCCUUCUCCCCCUACGGCGAGCACUGGCGGCAGGCCAGAAAGCUUGUCACCACGCACCUCUUGACCGUCAAGAAGGUGAACUCAUAUUGCCGUUCCCGCAAAGAAGAGGUCAGUGACUACUAGCUAUAUGUGUAUAUAUAUAUAUGCAACACAUACAUAAGCAAAUUAAAUCGAUCGUCCAUGCAACAAAUACUAUUUGUAUAUAUAUGCAUAUAUAGGUGAGCUUGGUGAUGGACAAGAUAAGAGAGGCAGCGACCGCGGGCACGGCCGUGGACAUGAGCACGAUGAUGAACACGUUCGCCAACGACAUCGUGAGCCGCGCCGUGUCGGGCAAGUUCUUCCGAGCAGAAGGCCGGAACAAGCUCUUCCGAGAGCUGGUGGAGGCCAACACUUCUUUGUUUGGAGGGUUCAACCUAGAAGACUACUUCCCAGUGCUGGCGAGGUCGUUAGGUUUCCUUAGCAGAAGGUUUCUGCUCAACAGGGCACAGGAGACGCACAAGAGAUGGGACGAGCUGCUUGAAACCAUACUGAGCGACCACGAGAGAAGAAACUCC